rnacentral:rRNA from 1 species
GGGCCCGCACAAGCGGUGGAGUAUGUGGUUUAAUUCGAUGCAACGCGAAGAACCUUACCAGGGUUUGACAUCCUGCGAAUCUCUUGGAAACAGGAGAGUGCCUUCGGGAACGCAGUGACAGGUGGUGCAUGGCUGUCGUCAGCUCGUGUCGUGAGAUGUUGGGUUAAGUCCCGCAACGAGCGCAACCCACGUCUUUAGUUGCCAGCAUUUAGUUGGGCACUCUAGAGAGACUGCCGGUGAUAAACCGGAGGAAGGUGUGGAUGACGUCAAGUCAUCAUGCCCCUUACAUCCUGGGCUACACACGUACUACAAUGCUACGGACAAAGGGCAGCAAGUUCGCGAGAGCUAGCAAAUCCCAUAAACCGUGGCUCAGUUCAGAUCGUAGGCUGCAACUCGCCUACGUGAAGUAGGAAUCGCUAGUAAUCG